AAAGUCGUAACAAGGUUUCCGUAGGUGAACCUGCGGAAGGAUCAUUAACACGUAUCCACGUUCUUAUCAACUAACCCACUACGAACCGAUCUCCCCGAGACACUCCUAACAUACGAUCUGUCACUUCUGCGGUUAUAAUGGGUCCCUGAGCUGUCAAAGGUUCAGUGUGGCAUACCGUGUUUGGCUACGUCCCGCUGCUGGUGUUCACUCACUGGCGGCGAGGGCGAGAGAUCGAUUACCUGCGAUGUCGGGCUUUACUUCACCCUUCGAGUCUUCCCAUUUACCUGGCUCGCGGAGUGGAACCCAUACCAAUCUCACCCUAUUUUACCCUAAUUGGCUAAUACUAGUUCCUCCUGGAGAAAUCCGGCCUGGAAUUCUAAGAUUUAUCUUAACUAAGCACAACUCUUAGCAAUGGAUAUCUUGGUUCUC
rnacentral:misc_RNA from 1 species